rnacentral:rRNA from 1 species
UACAGAGGUCUCAAGCGUUGUUCGGAUUCAUUGGGCGUAAAGGGUGCGUAGGUGGCGCCGUAAGUCGGGUGUGAAAUUUCGGAGCUUAACUCCGAAACUGCAUUCGAUACUGCGGUGCUUGAGGACUGGAGAGGAGACUGGAAUUCAUGGUGUAGCAGUGAAAUGCGUAGAUAUCGGGAGGAACACCAGUGGCGAAGGCGGCCUUCUGGACCAGUACUGACGCUCAUGCACGAAAGCGUGGGGAGCAAACAGG